GCCCCGUUUGGUUACUUGCACUCGCUGGUUAAACCAUUUGGUUUUCGACCACUACGACCCGGGUUCGAUUCCCGCAUUGGACG